AAAACUUUACCACCAAAUAACCAAAUGAUUUGGGUUUACUAGUUCAUAUAUAAAAUUCUUUACUUCAACAUGAUAUUUGACCUUAGUUUAUUGCUACAUAUAUACCUAAUAUUAACCUUAUUUCCAUUUAUUCACCAUGCACCGGAUCCACCUCGACGUUGGCAUCGACCCUAGCUUGACAUCGAUCCUGACCCCGACAUCGAUCUCGACUUGACGACAUUAUCCCCUUCAAGAUUGGCAGCGAGACAUUGUGAAAUUGAAUUAAAUAUGGGCAGCAAAUGUUAAGUACUACUUAUUUUGUGAUAAAGGUUAAAGAGAAAGGCCAAAAAGAAAAAUGAUGUAGUAUUUAAUGUUAUCUAGUGAUAAAGUUUAAAGUUGUGCAAAUCUCACGAGGAAGACAACUUUUAGUUUCUUAAUUUGUCAUUUUGCUAAGGAACUUUAGACUGAGUAAAAUCUCUUAAAUAAAGGGUAAAAAAUCCACACAAAAUCAUCACCAUGCCCAAAAGUCAAAUCUUCAAUGUCUAUUUAAUGCACUGUCAAUAUAUAGAUAAUCUAUAUAUUAAAUACCGUGAAUCAAAUAUUACUGUCUGGUUCUUAAAAUAAAUUUAAUACUAAGAAACUUUAAAAAACUCAUUAAAAAAUUCGAAUGAAUUAAUUUGAGUUAAUUUAUUAUUUAUUAGUUUGAUAGAGAAAGCAGAGUUAAAAAGUCUAAAAUUGCCACUAAGUAUGGUAUGAAAGAGAUAACACGCUUCUCGGCCUGUCUUCCAUUUCUUGGAAGAUCGUCACUGAUGUGGGUCACCACAUCAAAAUCUUCUUUUUCCAUUUUGCUCAUCAUUUUUUUUUUCUCAUAUUGGAGUCAAAUGUUUUAGGCUACAAAAAUAGACCUUUACCUCCAUUCCCCCAAUAAUCACAAGCCACGUGAGAGGAAUUGCUUACGUGUCAGAAAGAGAAAACAUGGAAAUCCGAUUGCUAGAGAUGAUCAUCCGUAGUGGAUCAAACCUCCUUGCUAGCCUUAAAUUCACCAAUGUCGA
rnacentral:lncRNA from 1 species